rnacentral:lncRNA from 1 species
AUGGGUAUCCAUACAAGACUUUGAUCUGAUCAGAAGCUUAUUGAUCUCAUCAAGAUGCUAGCUUCUUUAUAGAGAUUAUUUAAUUUAAAAAUUUUGAAAAUUAAAGAUGGUAUUAGCAACGAUAUUAUUGGUUGCUAAUAAUUAUUAGCGAUGGUAUUAGCCAUGAAAAUAUCGUUGCUAAUAUUUUUAAAAAUUUAAUUUAAAAAUUAAAUAAAUUAGAGAUGAAAAAAGUUCCAUCGCUAAUAGCCUUAUUAGCAAAGGCUAUGGUUUUCAUCGCUAAUAAGGGUAUUUAGCGAUCAAAUUUUUUUAGAUUGGCUAUUAGGACGGAAUUAACGAUGGUGAGG